AUUCUUUAGUGUAAUUGUAAUUUUUCAAAUUAAAUGUGUAUAUAUCUCUACACUUUAUGGAUUAGUAAUAAUGUGAUUCUCUAUGGCUUCUAGCUUCACCAUUAAGCUGCAGUUAAGGGUCUGUCAGUAUCAUUUGAUGCUGUGCCAUUUCUCCUUUUGCCUGCCAGUUUGUCCUACCCGCAAGCUGGUUGAUAUGGGGCAGAGGUUUAAUAGACUUCUCUCAUGGGUCACAUUUUGUCUAUCUUCAACCUAGUUCCUCCUCAGAUCACUCUGGGCUACAGCAUCCCUCCUGUUUAGAUCAGCACACUGAGGCGUGGUGUGAUUAAAUGACUUGUCUGAGAUUAGUUUUCAGGCAUGUGAAGGACUUAUACUCACAUGCUAGCCCUUGGAUAAAGAGCUAUAUGCUUUUCCCUGGAGAGUGGGGAGAUGAGACCAGUGUUCCUCACACUGGAGGGUGAUAGACCCCAAGGGGAACUGAAGAGUGGAGCUCAGUUUCCUCUCUUCUCACCCUCCACCUGUUCCUCAUUUGCCAUUAUUCACCUUGUCCCUUGCCUGCCCCUCUCUAUUAGUACCUCAUCCUCCACUCACCGUUCCUUAUCAUACUUCUCACCUCUACUUAGCCCAUUCUUGUAGGAUGGAAAUAUUUGAGAACUACUGAGUUAGAACUUUACUAUCAUAUGAAUGUGUUAUGUUAUAUGACAAAUUAAUGCAGCAGUUUUACUUACCUUAUGCACAAAGGUAUUCCCAGGUAGGGGACAAUAGUAGCAUUCGCAGUGGUGAUAAUGCUUCAAGGUGGAUGUGUUUGGAAGUUUGGCCUUUAGGAAAUGGAGAGUAGUGAGCAAAACAUCAGAUUUCACCAAAGAACCAAAGUGACUCCACAAUUGGGAUGCCGACACACCUUGCUAGGAACUGACAACAACUUCAGUAUGGUCUGGAGCUUACCAGCUCCUACCAGUCCAGUGUGCUUAUAAGUGCAAAAGAAAGUAAAGGCAACCCCAGAUUUCUAAUCUACCAAGUGUCCCCCUAACCUCCUUUCCUCUCUGCUAAUAGAUUUUUUGUGGUUGUUGUAAAUGUUUUGGUUUGGUUAUUUAUUUAUUUAUCUAUCUAUUGAUCUAUCGAUUUUUUUUAAUUUGAUGUUUACCUAAGCCUUUAAGGCUGUGUCACCAAGGUAUG
rnacentral:lncRNA from 10 species